AGCGAACGCUGGCGGCAGGCCUAACACAUGCAAGUCGAACGAAGUCUUCGGACUUAGUGGCGGACGGGUGAGUAACACGUGGGAACGUACCCUUUGGUUCGGAACAACUCAGGGAAACUUGAGCUAAUGCCGGAUGAGCCCUUAGGGGGAAAGAUUUAUCGCCGAAAGAGCGGCCCGCGUUAGAUUAGCUAGUUGGUGAGGUAAAGGCUCACCAAGGCUACGAUCUAUAGCUGGUCUGAGAGGAUGAUCAGCCACACUGGGACUGAGACACGGCCCAGACUCCUACGGGAGGCAGCAGUGGGGAAUCUUGCGCAAUGGGCGAAAGCCUGACGCAGCCAUGCCGCGUGAAUGAUGAAGGUCUUAGGAUUGUAAAAUUCUUUUACCAGGGACGAUAAUGACGGUACCUGGAGAAAAAGCCCCGGCUAACUUCGUGCCAGCCGCCGCAGUAAAAC
rnacentral:rRNA from 1 species